rnacentral:piRNA from 1 species
UCAUCUUAGAGAACUACUGCCCUGGGAUC